AAGUCUAUAGCUCAGUUGGUUAGAGCAUACACCUGAUAAGUGUAAAGUCAGUAGUUCAAAUCUACUUAGACUUA
rnacentral:tRNA from 1 species